AUAUUUCCCUGCCUUUGUCCUCCCC
rnacentral:piRNA from 1 species